UUGUCCUACUGAUCACAGUCAUAAGCCUCUCUGUGCACUAUGAUGAACAGUAUUACGGACUGUCCAGACUCCAGACUUCAUACAACAACCUGACUGAGGAGAAACUCCAGCUGCAGAGAACAGUUUCAGAGCAGGAGAAGAAGAUAUCAGAGCUUGGACCCUGUCCUGAUGGUUGGAGGAGACUCAGAUGUAGCUGUUAUUACUUCUCUAAUAACAGAAAAACUUGGAGUGAGAGCAGACAAGACUGCAGAGAGAGAGGAGCAGACCUGUUGAUCGUAAACAGCAGA